rnacentral:miRNA from 10 species
GGGCCCGAAAUUUUGGCUCAAACCU